GACGAACGCUGGCGGCGUGCUUAACACAUGCCAGUCGAACGGAAAGGCCCUGCUUUUGUGGGGUUCUCGAGUGGCGAACGGGUGAGUAACACGUGAGUAACCUGCCCUUGACUUUGGGAUAACUUCAGGAAACUGGGGCUAAUACCGGAUAGGAGCUCCUGCUGCAUGGUGGGGGUUGGAAAGUUUCGGCGGUUGGGGAUGGACUCGCGGCUUAUCAGCUUGUUGGUGGGGUAGUGGCUUACCAAGGCUUUGACGGGUAGCCGGCCUGAGAGGGUGACCGGGCACAUUGGGACUGAGAUACGGCGCAGACUCCUACGGGAGGCAGCAGUGGGGAAUCUUGCACAAUGGGAGGAAGCCUGAUGCAGCAACGCCGCGUGCGGGAAGACGGCCUUCGGGUUGUAAACCGCUUUCGCCUGUGACGAAGCGUGAGUGACGGUAAUGGGUAAAGAAGCACCGGCUAACUACGUG
rnacentral:rRNA from 1 species